rnacentral:tRNA from 1 species
GCCGCGCUGUUCGAGGUGCCCGCGCAGAACAUCGUCUACGCCGACGUCGAGGGUAACAUCGGUUACCAGUCGCCGGGGCGUAUCCCGGUGCGCGGCA